rnacentral:rRNA from 1 species
AGGGUUCGAUCAUGGCUCAGGAUGAACGCUAGCGGCAGGCUUAACACAUGCAAGUCGAGGGGUAACAGGAGUGCUUGCACUCGCUGACGACCGGCGCACGGGUGCGUAACGCGUAUAGAACCUACCUUUUACUGAGGGAUAGCCUUUAGAAAUGAAGAUUAAUACCUCAUGGUAUUGCAAUUUGGCAUCAGAUUGUAAUUAAAGAUUUAUUGGUAAAAGAUGGCUAUGCGUCUUAUUAGCUAGAUGGUAAGGUAACGGCUUACCAUGGCAACGAUAAGUAGGGGCCCUGAGAGGGGGAUCCCCCACACUGGUACUGAGACACGGACCAGACUCCUACGGGAGGCAGCAGUGAGGAAUAUUGGGCAAUGGAGGCAACUCUGACCCAGCCAUGCCGCGUGCAGGAAGACUGCCCUAUGGGUUGUAAACUGCUUUUAUACAGGAAGAAACACACCUACGUGUAGGUGCUUGACGGUACUGUAAGAAUAAGCACCGGCUAACUCCGUGCCAGCCGCCGCGGUAAUUC